AUUGAACGCUGGCGGCAGGCUUAACACAUGCAAGUCGAGCGGAGAUGAGGUGCUUGCACCUUAUCUUAGCGGCGGACGGGUGAGUAAUGCUUAGGAAUCUGCCUAUUAGUGGGGGACAACAUUCCGAAAGGAAUGCUAAUACCGCAUACGCCCUACGGGGGAAAGCAGGGGAUCUUCGGACCUUGCGCUAAUAGAUGAGCCUAAGUCGGAUUAGCUAGUUGGUGGGGUAAAGGCCUACCAAGGCGACGAUCUGUAGCGGGUCUGAGAGGCUGAUCCGCCACACUGGAACUGAGCCACGGCCCAGACUCCUACGGGAGGCAGCAGUGGGGAAUAUUGGACAAUGGGCGGAAGCCUGAUCCAGCCAUGCCGCGUGUGUGAAGAAGGCCUUUUGGUUGUAAAGCACUUUAAGCGAGGAGGAGGCUACCUGGAUUAAUACUCUAGGAUAGUGGACGUUAUUCGCAGAAUAAGCACCGGCUAACUCUGUGCCAGCCGCCGCGGUAAUAC
rnacentral:rRNA from 1 species